AGUAAAUAGAUACCCGGGUAGUCCAUGCCGUAAACGUUGGGCACUAGGUGUGGGGACAUUCCACGUUUUCCGCGCCGUAGCUAAACGCAUUAAAGUGCCCCGCCUGGGGAGUACGGCCGCAAGGCUAAAACUCAAAGGAAUUGACGGGGGCCCGCACAAGCGGCGGAGCAUGCGGAUUAAUUCGAUGCAACGCGAAGAACCUUACCAAGGCUUGACAUGGACCGGAUCGCCGCAGAAAUGUGGUUUCUCCUUUUGGGGCCGGUUCACAGGUGGUGCAUGGUUGUCGUCAGCUCGUGUCGUGAGAUGUUGGGUUAAGUCCCGCAACGAGCGCAACCCUCGUUUCCAUGUUGCCAGCGCGUAAUGGCGGGGACUCAUGGGAGACUGCCGGGGUCAACUCGGAGGAAGGUGGGGACGACGUCAAAUCAUCAUGCCCCUUAUGUCUUGGGCUUCACGCAUGCUACAAUGGCCGGUACAAAGGGUUGCGAUACUGUGAGGUGGAGCUAAUCCCAAAAAGCCGGUCUCAGUUCGGAUUGGGGUCUGC
rnacentral:rRNA from 1 species